rnacentral:rRNA from 1 species
CCUACGGGUGGCUGCAGUAGGGAAUCUUGCUCAAUGGGGGAAACCCUGAAGCAGCAACGCCGCGUGGGGGAUGAAGGUUUUCGGAUUGUAAACUCCUUUUGUUAGAGAAGAUAAUGACGGUAUCUAACGAAUAAGCACCGGCUAACUCCGUGCCAGCAGCCGCGGUAAUACGGAGGGUGCGAGCGUUACCCGGAAUCAAUGGGCGUAAGGAGCGCGGAGGCGGGUUAGCAAGUCAGAUGUGAAAGCCUAUGGCUUAACCAUAGAACUGCAUUUGAAACUGUUAUUCUAGAGUAUGGAAGAGGAAGGUGGAAUUCCUGGUGUAGGGGUAAAAUCCGUAGAGAUCAAGAGGAAUACUCAUUGCGAAGGCGACCCGCUAGAAUAUAACUGACGCUGAGGCGCGAAAGCGUGGGGAGCAAACAGGAUUAGAUACCCGAGUAGUC